rnacentral:lncRNA from 1 species
CUUAAAUGAGACUUGCUCUGAUCAGAGAUUGCAGCUAAACACUCGUUCAUAGCUUGUGUGUUCAAGCUUUGGGUCUACUCUUCAUGACAAACAAUAAGCCCUUCUGAGGUUUCUGGGAAAUGAGUAUAAAUUCCAUGAAAUGCAGUAACAAUUAUUAAAAUUCAAUACGCUAGCUGUACAGGAAAUUUAAAGAUCCAAGAAAAACAGUGAGAAUGAUGAAGAAAUGUAUAAAUUACUUCUGGGUGCAGGCGGUACCCACCAUGAUUUGUGGCCCACACUCACUUUUUAUGACUUUUUUUCCAUAAAUAAAACCCACAGAGUAAUAACCAAAACUCAUAUUUACAACCAAAGCUACACAGAAACAAUGACAACCUGGGUUGCUAUCAAAGACAACUCAGCUGACUUACUGAUACCAGAGAGAGGAACCAUUGAAGAAGUCACGGAGGAACCACCUGUCCUCGUCUUCUACCCUUCUCCAAUGCCAUCUUGUGGACAUUUAAAGACCUUGAGAGGUAUUCAUGUAAAUGUAAUCUUCAACAUUUUCUCUUUUAAAGAAAAGACCUGAAUUUUAACUCAAUUUGAAAUGUCCAUGCUUGAUACAAGGUAGGGAUUUGAUACAGUAGUGCUAUUGGCAUUUUGGUCAGAGAAUUCUUUGUUAAGGAAAACUGUCCUGUUAAUUUGCAGAAUUCUUAGCAGCACCCUUGCCUCCUCCCUGCAAAUUCCAGGAGAACCACCACCGUCCUACAAGUUACAACAACCAAAAGUAUCUUCAGACACUGCCAAAUGUAAUUUUGCCCUGAGGGCGGGGGGGAGCAAAAUCUCCCUCAGUUGAGAAGCACUGUUCAUAAGGAGAUUUAUCACAAAAAGAUGACUUCAAUCCAGACAUCACUGAAGCAACAUUUUAAGAAGCCACUUCAUUCCAAUCCAAAACACAAAAGAGCUCCCCAAAUGGAACACUGCUAUAGCUUUUCUAUUGAAUUUCUUUUUAUAUAGCUUCUAAAUGUUUGAAAAGCAUAUAUCUCUGUUUUAUUUUAGUUAUUUCACUGGAAUCUCUCUGGGUGUUUUGGUGGUAUGAGAUUAGAUUCCAAGGUAGAGAGCAGAAUUUCUAAGAUGGUGCUUACAGAAAAUGAGAGUUUGGCUCUGGUUUAAUUUGUCAUGGCUGUCCAGGGGGCAAUUAAGUUUCAAAUCAAGGGUCACUUGUAAACUAGACCUUUUGGCUCUGUUGCUUCACCUGAUGGACAGUAAUAAACGGUAUUGAUUGUUUAAGAUCUCCAAAUACCUCACAAUCUCAUAUGUCCUAAGAUUUCUCAAAAAGAA